rnacentral:rRNA from 1 species
GACGAACGCUGGCGGCGUGCCUAACACAUGCAAGUCGAACGGAAAGGUCCUGCUUUUGUGGGGUGCUCGAGUGGCGAACGGGUGAGUAACACGUGAGUAACCUGCCCUUGACUUUGGGAUAACUUCAGGAAACUGGGGCUAAUAUCGGAUAGGAGCUCUUGCUGCAUGGGGGGGGAUGGAAAGAUUCGGCGGUUGGGGAUGGACUCGCUGCUUAUCAGCUUGAUGGGCGGGUAGUGGCGUACCAAGGCUUUGACGGGUAGCCGGCCUGGGAGGUUGACCGGCGACCAUGGGACUGCGAUACGCCGCAGUCUCCUACGUUACGCAACGGUGGAGAGUAUUACACAAUGGGGCCGCGCCAGAUGCGACAACGCCGCGUGCGGGAUGACGUCCUUCGGGUUGUGAACCGAUGUCUCCUUUGCCGAAGCGUGAUUGACGGUAACGGGUAAAGAAGCACCGGCUAACUACGUG